CCUACGGGAGGCAGCAGUAAGGAAUAUUGGACAAUGGGCGCAAGCCUGAUCCAGCCAUGCCGCGUGCAGGAAGACGGCCCUAUGGGUUGUAAACUGCUUUUAUACGGGAAGAAACCCCACUACGUGUAGUGGGCUGACGGUACUGUAAGAAUAAGGAUCGGCUAACUCCGUGCCAGCAGCCGCGGUAAUACGGAGGAUCCAAGCGUUAUCCGGAUUUAUUGGGUUUAAAGGGUGCGUAGGCGGUUUUGUAAGUCAGUGGUGAAAGUUUUCAGCUUAACUGAAAAAUUGCCAUUGAUACUGCAGGACUUGAGUACAGAUGAGGUAGGCGGAAUGUGACAAGUAGCGGUGAAAUGCAUAGAUAUGUCACAGAACACCGAUUGCGAAGGCAGCUUACUAAAGUGUAACUGACGCUGAGGCACGAAAGCGUGGGGAUCAAACAGGAUUAGAUACCCUGGUAGUCCACGCCCUAAACGAUGAUUACUCGAUGUGUGCGAUAAACAGUACGCGUCCAAGCGAAAGCGUUAAGUAAUCCACCUGGGGAGUACGGUCGCAAGAUUGAAACUUAAAGGAAAUUGACGG
rnacentral:rRNA from 1 species